UCCGACUUUCACCGGCUGUCUCGCUAGAGUGCCCAGCUCUACCUGCUGGCAACUAUCGAUAAGGGUUGCGCUCGUUGCGGGACUGAACCCAACAUCUCACGACACGAGCUGACGACAACCAUGCACCACCUGUCUCCGCUGCCCUUGCAGGCUGACAUAUCUCUACAUCAUCCAGCGGGAUGUCAAGCCCUGGUAAGGUUCUUCGCGUCGCUUCGAAUUAAACCACAUGCUCCACCGCUUGUGCGGGCCCCCGUCAAUUCCUUUGAGUUUCAGCCUUGCGGCCGUACUCCCCAGGCGGAGUGCUUAUUGGGUUUCCUUCGGCACUCAGGAGUUGAACUCCCCAACACCUAGCACUCAUCGUUUACGGCGUGGACUAC
rnacentral:misc_RNA from 1 species